rnacentral:rRNA from 1 species
GACGAACGCUGGCGGCGUGCCUAAUACAUGCAAGUCGAGCGAGUCUGCCUUGAAGAUCGGAGUGCUUGCACUCUGUGAAACAAGAUACAGGCUAGCGGCGGACGGGUGAGUAACACGUGGGUAACCUGCCCAAGAGAUCGGGAUAACACCUGGAAACAGAUGCUAAUACCGGAUAACAACAGAUGAUGCCUAUCAACUGUUUAAAAGAUGGUUCUGCUAUCACUCUUGGAUGGACCUGCGGUGCAUUAGCUAGUUGGUAGGGUAACGGCCUACCAAGGCGAUGAUGCAGAGCCGAGUUGAGAGACUGAUCGGCCACAUUGGGACUGAGACACGGCCCAAACUCCUACGGGAGGCAGCAGUAGGGAAUCUUCCACAAUGGACGCAAGUCUGAUGGAGCAACGCCGCGUGAGUGAAGAAGGGUUUCGGCUCGUAAAGCUCUGUUGUUGGUGAAGAAGGACAGGGGUAGUAACUGACCUUUGUUUGACGGUAAUCAAUUAGAAAGUCACGGCUAACUACGUG